rnacentral:rRNA from 1 species
GACGAACGCUGGCGGCGCGCUUAACACAUGCAAGUCGAACGGAAAGGCCUGCUUUCCCUUGUGGAUUGCGGGUACUCGAGUGGCGAACGGGUGAGUAACACGUGAGUGAUCUGCCCCCAACUUGGGUAUAAGCCUGGGAAACUGGGUCUAAUUCCCGAUAGGACUGCAGGGUGGUGCCUGUGGUGGAAAACGAUUUUCUAGUGGUUGGGGAUGAGCUCGCGGCCUAUCAGCUUGUUGGUGGGGUAAUGGCCUACCAAGGCGGCGACGGGUAGCCGGCCUGGGAGGGUGGACGGGCGCAGUGGGACUGAGAUACGGCCAAGACUCCUACGGGAGGCAGCAGUGGGGAAUAUUGCACAAUGGGCGGAAGCCUGAUGCAGCGACGCCGCGUGGGGGAUGACGGCCUUCGGGUUGUAAACUCCUUUCGACCGCGAGGAAGCCACCUGGUUGGAAGGGUGGUGACGGUAGUGGUAGAAGAAGCACCGGCUAACUACGUG